GAUGAACGCUGGCGGCGUGCCUAAUACAUGCAAGUAGAACGCUGAAGCUUGGUGCUUGCACCGAGCGGAUGAGUUGCGAACGGGUGAGUAACGCGUAGGUAACCUGCCUCUUAGCGGGGGAUAACUAUUGGAAACGAUAGCUAAUACCGCAUAAAAGUCGAUAUCGCAUGAUAUUGAUUUGAAAGGUGCAAAUGCAUCACUAAGAGAUGGACCUGCGUUGUAUUAGCUAGUUGGUGAGGUAACGGCUCUCCAAGGCGACGAUACAUAGCCGACCUGAGAGGGUGAUCGGCCACACUGGGACUGAGACACGGCCCAGACUCCUACGGGAGGCAGCAGUAGGGAAUCUUCGGCAAUGGGGGCAACCCUGACCGAGCAACGCCGCGUGAGUGAAGAAGGUUUUCGGAUCGUAAAGCUCGGUUGUAAGAGAAGAACGAGUGUGAGAGUGGAAAGUUCACACUGUGACGGUAACUGACCAGAAAGGGACGGCUAACUACGUG
rnacentral:rRNA from 1 species